CCUACGGGUGGCAGCAGUGGGGGAUAUUGCACAAUGGGGGGAACCCUGAUGCAGCGACGCCGCGUGGGUGAAGAAGCGCCUCGGCGCGUAAAGCUCUAUCAGCAGGGAAGAAAAUGACGGUACCUGACUAAGAAGCCCCGGCUAACUACGUGCCAGCAGCCGCGGUAAUACGUAUGGGGCAAGCGUUAUCCGGAUUUACUGGGUGUAAAGGGAGCGUAGACGGCCAGACAAGUCAGAAGUGAAAGCCCAGGGCUCAACCCUGGGACUGCUUUUGAAACUGCCGGGCUGGAGUACAGGAGAGGUAAGCGGAAUUCCUAGUGUAGCGGUGAAAUGCGUAGAUAUUAGGAGGAACACCAGUGGCGAAGGCGGCUUACUGGACUGUAACUGACGUUGAGGCUCGAAAGCGUGGGGAGCAAACAGGAUUAGAUACCCGAGUAGUC
rnacentral:rRNA from 1 species